GACGAACGCUGGCGGCGUGCUUAACACAUGCAAGUCGAACGGUGAGGCUCCAGCUUGCUGGCGUGGAUUAGUGGCGAACGGGUGAGUAACACGUGAGCAACCUGCCCCUGACUCUGGAAUAAGCGCUGGAAACGGCGUCUAAUACUGGAUACGAGAAGGGUCCGCAUGGGCACUUUCUGGAAAGUUUUUCGGUUGGGGAUGGGCUCGCGGCCUAUCAGCUUGUUGGUGAGGUAAUGGCUCACCAAGGCGACGACGGGUAGCCGGCCUGAGAGGGCGACCGGCCACACUGGGACUGAGACACGGCCCAGACUCCUACGGGAGGCAGCAGUGGGGAAUAUUGCACAAUGGGCGAAAGCCUGAUGCAGCGACGCCGCGUGAGGGAUGACGGCCUUCGGGUUGUAAACCUCUUUCAGCAGGGAAGAAGCGAAAGUGACGGUACCUGCAGAAGAAGCACCGGCUAACUACGUG
rnacentral:rRNA from 1 species